UCUGCCAAAAUCAAAAAUACAUCACUGAGUUACUGAGUUUGUUUUUAUAGUAAUAGACAACAGAAAAUAAAUGAUGUAAUGUAAAUUUAACUUAUUAAAGGUUUGUA